CGCGUAGGCGGCUAUUUAAGUCAGGGGUGAAAUCCCGGGGCUCAACCCCGGAACUGCCUUUGAAACUGGAUGGCUAGAAUCCUGGAGAGGCGAGUGGAAUUCCGAGUGUAGAGGUGAAAUUCGUAGAUAUUCGGAAGAACACCAGUGGCGAAGGCGACUCGCUGGACAGGUAUUGACGCUGAGGUGCGAAAGCGUGGGGAGCAAACA
rnacentral:rRNA from 1 species